rnacentral:lncRNA from 1 species
UCACGUUUAAGGUUUUUUAUAAUAUAAGAACAGUUUGUGGAGUAAAAAAACCUGCAUUGGUAGUGAAAAGAAUAUUAGUCCCCACUGUUGUAGACUCUCCAUAGUGUAAAUAUUUUCUAUACAUGUUUCCUAACCCAAAUACUACCCCUUGCAUGGCUUGAAACCAAAAGAUUAAGCAUUUAAGAUUGAUUGUUUGAAACCAAAAUAAUAACAAUAAUAAUAAUAAGCAUUUAAGAUCAACUACCUUAACCCCUUAGCCGUUUCAGUAACCACUUUAUUCUUAACCUCUCAUCCAGUUUCAUAAACAUCCUGGCCCUCUUCUCAUGUAUCAGCAAUCCUCCCGAUGUUUUCUGCCAUAGCACCCAUCACGUCUAACAUUAUAUCACUGCUAUGCCUCCUCUUUAAUGCCUCUUUUGAACGUGAUGGUGAAGAUCUAGAUAUUGUCUGUAAUAGCCCGAUUUUAGGCUUAGUCGGAACAGUGGUUUCGGGACCACAAAUCCGACAAAAAAAAAAAUGUAAUGGCUUGAAUUUUCAGAGGUGUCGGAACGGUGAUUCGAGAUCACUAAAUUCGACAAAUGGGUAGAAAAUAUUAUUAAUUUAGUAAGUAUAAGUUAAAUAUGAAGUUAGGAAAAUUUUUGAAAUAGUGAAUAGUGCACUAGAAAUAAAUAUUAAAAUAAUUAGAAUCGAAAUGAGGUAUCAAGACCUCGGGGAUUUUAAACUGAGCCAUAAAUAUUUUUAUAAAUAUUUAUGGAGUGUUAAAAAGUUAGUAUUAAAGUUUCGUUAAGAAAUUUUAAAGUUCCGAUAAUUAAUUGAACAAAAAGGACUAAAUUGUAACAAAUGCAAAAUUUUGGGAAAUGAUUAAAUAGCUUAAAUGAUAAAAGGAAGAGGGCUUAAAAAGCAAAUAGACCCAAGGCCUAUUUGGGCUGGACGGCAGAGGCAUGAAAUCAGCAAGAAAGUAAGGAGAAUUAAGGGCAAAAUUGGAAAAUUACAAAAUUUGCUUAUUAAAGUUAGGACCCAAGUGGAAUUAUCUAGAUUUCUCUUCAUUUUUCUGAAUUCUCAUCAGCUAAAACACCAUGGAAGGGCUUCUUCAAGCUGGUUCUUCAUAUUUUUAUUACAAGUAAGUUCAAUUCUUGACUAUUUCUUGAAAUUUUUGUAUUUUUAUGACUUUUACAACUAGGCCCACUUGUUAAAUUCAUUAGUUUUUGAUUUUAUGAAAGAAGUUGAAAGUUGAUAUGAAUAUGUGCUGGAAGUAUAUGAUGAUUUAGCAUGAAAUUAGAGCUUUAAAUUGUUCAUAUGCUGAUUUUAUUGAAAGAAUUGAAUAGAAAGUGAAUGUUUGGGACCUAAUAGUAAAAGAGUUUGAAGAUAGAGUUAUAUGUGGAAAUUCUGAAUUUCAAUAGUUGUGUAACAACUUAUAAUGUCUAGUAAAGUACUAAUUGAGAAAAUUAGAUUAAUUGAGGGGUUAAUUGAGAAAGGACCGAAUUGUAUAAACUGUGAAAUUUGGGGCAAAAUGGAAAUCAACAUUUUGCACUAAAGCAGUUUUGGACAGCAGCAGUAGUGUAACUUUGAAAAAUCACCAAAAAUUGUAGAUAUUGAAUUAGAGGAUGAAUAAAAUAUGAAAUUAAAGCUUAUUGAGUCUAGUUUCUUAUAAAAGAAAUGAUGUGAGCAAUGGAAUUUUAAAUCAUGAGAUAUAAUAGAUUUUGUGAGACAAGGUCAGAAUGAACUCGGGUUCCCCUGUUCUGACUUUGGAAAAUCAUUAAAAAUUGUACAGAAAUUAUUAUGAGUUAUAGUUUAUAUGGUUAUAAUCCUUAAUGAGUCUAUUUUUAGAAGAAACAAGCUAAAACAUCAUCCGAAUUCUGUACAAUGAGAUAAUUAAUUUUUAGUGAAGAGUGGUCGGAACUGUCAGACAGCGAAACAGGGGAAACUUUAAAGAAUAAACUGUACUAUUUGGCUGAACCAAAAAUUAUGAAAAUUUUAUGGUAUGAAGAUAUGUGAGUCUAGUUUCAGGGAAAAUUAACGGAUCUUAAUUUGGAGCUCUGUAGCUCCGGAUAAAAAUAAUUUAGUGACUCUGACUCGGAUAAACAGCUUUGAAUAUACAUGUUAGUGAAUAUUGAAAUUAUGGUUAAUGUUGUUUAAGUGUGUUAUACACAUUAAGGAUGUGGAAUGGAGAGGAGGAGGAGGAAAAUUGGGAAAUAUAUGAAUGAUUCGUGUAUAAAUGGUCAUAUGUUUGAUUAUAACUCAUAAACGAUGAAAUAUGAAUGAUGCUUAUUUUUGUGCAUUAUUGGUCAUGGUUUAAGCUCAUGUGUGAAAAUAAAGUUUCAUAGUAUGUGUGUAUGGUAUAUUCAGUAUAUGAUUUGGCAUGAAAUAAUACCAUGAAUGGUUUAUGAAUUAACACAUGUUGGUAAGCCUGAUAUAUGAAUAAAUGAUCAAAUUGAGCGGAACGCCGGAUUUGAGUACUUCUGAUCAAGUGAUAAAGUGAUAAGUGAUAGCUUCAGCUACACUUAUCUGAUCAAGUGACAAGUGGAAAGUGAUAAGUGAUAGCUUCGGCUACACUUAUCUGAUCAAGUGACAAGUGAAAAGUGAUAAGUGAUAGCUUCGGCUAUACUUAUCUGAUCAAGAGACAAAGUGAUAAGUGAUAGCUUUAGCUACACUUAUCUGAUCAAGAGACAAAGUGAUAAGUGGCUACACUUAUCUGAUCAAGAAACAAAGUGAUAAGUGGCUACACUUAUGUGAUCAAGAAACAAAGUGAUAGGUGGCUACACUUAUCUGAUCAGGGACAAGUGAUAAGUGAUCAUACGUAAGACCAUAGUUAUACUAUGGCAAAGUGAAAGUGAAGUACUCAAUUUUCCGUGACCGUUCCCUAAUUUGAUUAAGGAUGGUAAGUGACAAAUGGGCCCAAAAGAAUUAAAGUAAAUGGAUAAGUGGUAGUGUAUUUAUAUCAGGACGAUGUUGUUAUUCAAACUAAAGUGAUAUUUUCAUUGCUAAAUUGAGAAUUUCAUAAAUGUGUUAUUGAAUGGUAUAAUCAAUAAACAUUGAGUUAAAUGGUAAAUACGUAUUAGUUUUGAAUUUGAUGUCAUUGAAUUGUACGUGAAUUAAAUGAAAAUUUCUAGUGAUAUGAUUUAAAUUAUGAGCAUGAGAAAUUGCGAAUUGAAUGAAAUGGAAAUGAAGCAUUAAAUUGCAUGAGUAUGUAUCGGGUCUCGCAGGCCCUAAUUAUUAUGAUUAUAAUAUUUUAAGGAUAUAUUGUGAAAAGUUAUAGAAACAUGUUAAUUAUUUUUGAAAGUUUUAAUUUUGAUGAAAUUUUAUAACUCGGUUAAAUACGUUUACAAGUGUAUGUGUUUUGGUAAUGCCUCGUACCCUAUUCCGGUGUUGGAUACGGGUAAGGGGUGUUACAUUGUCCGCUGAGAUGAAACUUGUACGUCAUCAUCAGUAUUAUUGUCGCACGUGUCCUCAUCAACCAUGACCUGCACUGGUACUUCUAUAGCCUCUUUGCCGUUUUGAAUAUUAUUUACAACUCUAUCACCUGCUUUGGACAAGU